UACGUAGGUGACAAGCGUUGUCCGGAUUUACUGGGCGUAAAGAGCGCGCAGGCGGUCGAUCAAGUCGAGUGUGAAAGCCCCCCGGCUCAACUGGGGAGGGUCAUUCGAUACUGAUCGACUCGAAGGCAGGAGAGGGUAGUGGAAUUCCCGGUGUAGUGGUGAAAUGCGUAGAUAUCGGGAGGAACACCAGUGGCGAAGGCGAGUCUCUGGACAGUUACUGACGCUGAGGCACGAAGGCCAGGGGAGCAAACGGG
rnacentral:rRNA from 1 species